UACGGAGGGCGCAAGCGUUGUUCGGAAUCACUGGGCGUAAAGCGCGUGUAGGCGGCUUGGUAAGUCGGGUGUGGAAGCCCGGGGCCCAACUGCGGAACUGCAUCUGAAACUGCCUCGCUCGAGUACGGGAGAGGGUGGCGGAAUUCCCAGUGUAGAGGUGAAAUUCGUAGAUAUUGGGAGGAACACCGGUGGCGAAAGCGGUUCUCUGGAUCGAUACUGACGCUAAGACGCGAAAGCGUGGGGAGCAAACAGG
rnacentral:rRNA from 1 species